AUGGAGUGAUGAGCACAUGUGUGAGGCAGCUGUGGAUAUAUGGAGGGAGGUCCCAUGGUGGGAACUGAGACAGCCGUGAGAUCCAUGGAGGGAGGCCUUGUGGUGGAAACUGAGGCAGCUGUGGAUCCAUGGAGGGAGGCCCCACGGUGGGAGCUCAGACAGCUGUGGAUAUAUGGAGGGAGGCCCUGCGGUGGGAACUGAGACAGCUGUGAGACCCAUGGAGGGAGGUCCCAUGGUGGAAACUGAGGCAGCUGUGGAUCCAUAGAGGGAGGCCGUGCGGUGGGAACUGAGCUGUGAGAUCCAUGGAGGGAGGUCCCAUGGUGGGAACUCAGACAGCUGUGGGUCCAUGGAGGGAGGCCCCGCAGUAGGAACUGAGACAGCUGUGAGAUCUGUGGACGGAGACCCUGCAGUGGGAACUGAGAUAGCUGUGGAUCCGUGGAGGGAGGUCCCGAGGUGGGAACUGAGACAGCUGUGGGUCCAUGGAGGGAGGCCCCAUGGUGGGAACUGAGACAGCUGUGGGGUCCAUGGAGGGAGGCCCUGCAGUGGGAACUGAGAUAGCUGUGGAUCCGUGGAGGGAGGCCCCGUGGUGGGAACUGAGGCAGCUGUGGAGUCCAUGGAGGGAGGUCCCACGGUGGGAACUGGGCUGUGGGGUCCAUGCAGGGAGGCCCCGCAGUGGCAACUGAGACAAGUUUAAGGAGUUGACUAGCAGCUGAACCCAGUGGCAGCUGCGGAGGAACUUGGGGCUCGGGAUGAUGACUUUGGCAGCCACCUGGUGCGGGCACUACUGGAGUAAAGCAGCAUCUGAGGAGAUGUGGAGAAGUUCAGUUUGAUGGUUUUGGUUUUGGUUUUGGUUUUUGGAGACUGAGUCUC